AAGGUAGCAUAAUAAUUUGCCCUUUAAUUGGGGGCUUGUAUGAAGGAAUAAACGAGAUUAAACCUGUUUUUUUUGUUUAAGUAAAAAUUGAUUUUUAGGUGAAGAGGCUUGAAUUUAAAUAAAGGACAAGAAGACCCUAUUGAGCUUUACUUAUASAGAGGUUUUGGGGAUAGUUGUUUAUAGGUUUGGUUGGGGCGACGGASGAAUACUCASAACUUCCUUUUUUGUUGUGGCUUACUUGCCUUUUUUUGAGCCAGUGAUUAUUGAUUAAAGGAAUAAGCUACCAUAGGGAUAACAGGYUAAUUUUCCUUGAGAGUUCAUAUUGACAGGAAAGUUUGGCACCUCGAUGUUGGCUUAGGGUGUCCUAAUAGUGUAGAAGUUAUUAAUGUGGGUUUGUUCAACCUUUGAAACCCUACUUGAUCUGAGUUC
rnacentral:rRNA from 1 species